ACGAUGAAGAGUUUGAUCCUGGCUCAGGAUGAACGCUAGCGGCAGGCUUAACACAUGCAAGUCGAGGGGUAUAGUUCUUCGGAGCUAGAGACCGGCGCACGGGUGCGUAACGCGUAUGCAAUCUGCCUUUCACAGAGGGAUAGCCCAGAGAAAUUUGGAUUAAUACCUCAUAGUAUUAUAGAGUGGCAUCACUUUAUAAUUAAAGUCACAACGGUGAAAGAUGAGCAUGCGUCCCAUUAGCUGGUUGGUAAGGUAACGGCUUACCAAGGCAACGAUGGGUAGGGGUCCUGAGAGGGAGAUCCCCCACACUGGUACUGAGACACGGACCAGACUCCUACGGGAGGCAGCAGUGAGGAAUAUUGGUCAAUGGACGCAAGUCUGAACCAGCCAUGCCGCGUGCAGGAUGACGGUCCUAUGGAUUGUAAACUGCUUUUGUACGAGAAGAAACACUCCUAUGUAUAGGAGCUUGACGGUAUCGUAAGAAUAAGGAUCGGCUAACUCCGUGCCAGCAGCCGCGGUAAUACGGAGGAUCCAAGCGUUAUCCGGAAUCAUUGGGUUUAAAGGGUCCGUAGGCGGUUUAGUAAGUCAGUGGUGAAAGCCCAUCGCUCAACGGUGGAACGGCCAUUGAUACUGCUGAACUUGAAUUACUGGGAAGUAACUAGAAUAUGUAGUGUAGCGGUGAAAUGCUUAGAUAUUACAUGGAAUACCAAUUGCGAAGGCAGGUUACUACCAGUUUAUUGACGCUGAUGGACGAAAGCGUGGGGAGCGAACAGGAUUAGAUACCCUGGUAGUCCACGCCGUAAACGAUGGAUACUAGCUGUCCGGCGCUAGCUGGGUGCCUAAGCGAAAGUGAUAAGUAUCCCACCUGGGGAGUACGAACGCAAGUUUGAAACAUCAAAGGAAUUGACGGGGGCCCGCACAAGCGGUGGAGCAUAGUGGUCUAAUUCGAUGAUACGCGAGGAACCUUACCAGGGCUUAUAAUGUAGGCCGACAGGCCAGGAAACGGGCUUCUCUUCGGACGGCUUACAAGGUGCUAGCAUGGUUGUCGUCAGCUCGAGCCGUGAGGUGUCAGGAUAAGUCCUAUAACGAGCGCAACCCCUGUCGAUAUGUUGCCAGCGAGUAAUGUCGGGUACUCUAGCGAGACUGCCAGUGCAAACUGCGAGGAAGGUGGGGAAGACGUCAAAUCAUCACGGCCCCUACGCCACUGGGCUACACACGUGCUACAAGUGGCCGCUAACAGAGAGCAGCCACCCCGACGAAUAGAUGCGAAUCUCGAAAGCCUGUCUCAGUUCGGAUUGGAGUCUGCAACUCGACUCUAUGAAGCUGGAAUCGCUAGUAAUCGCGCAUCAGCCAUGGCGCGGUGAAUACGUUCCCGGGCCUUGUACACACCGCCCGUCAAGCCAUGGAAGUUUGGGGUACCUGAAGUCGGUGACCGUAACAGGAGCUGCCUAGGGUAAAACAAGUAACUAGGGCUAAGUCGUAACAAGGUAGCCGUACCGGAAGGUGCGGCUGGAACAUCUCAUUU
rnacentral:rRNA from 1 species